CCCUUAGAUGUUCUGGGCUGCACGCGCGCUACACUGAUGCGCUCAACGAGUUUUAACCUUGCCUGGAAAGGUUGGGUAAUCUUUUUAAAACGCAUCGUGAUGGGGAUAGAUUAUUGCAAUUAUUAAUCUUCAACGAGGAAUUCCUAGUAAGCGCGAGUCAUCAGCUCGUGCUGAUUACGUCCCUGCCCUUUGUACACACCGCCCGUCGCACCUACCGAUUGAAUGGUCCGGUGAAAUCUUUGGACUGUGGCAUUGUGGAUCUUCGGAUUUACGUUGCUGUGGGAAGUUGAUUAAACCUUACCAUUUAGAGGAAGGUGAAGUCGUAACA
rnacentral:rRNA from 1 species